rnacentral:lncRNA from 1 species
GUUAAUAAUGACAGUUUCUAUACUAUUGGUAUAUCAAGUAAAUAAUACAAGAAUAACUUUAACUGUUACUUUCUCUGAAGAAAAACUAUAUUGACGUCUUAUUUGAAUAGCGACUUUAAGACUCGAGACUGCGUCGGUGAGUCUCUGUAUAAAAUAUGGAAUAUUUUAUAUUUCUGACUUUUCUGUACUUUUCAGUAUAUAAUUUUUUGUACGUCUAAUGAUCUCUAAUCUUUAGAGUCUCUUAUAAUAUAAAAUUAUAAAUCUAUGUUUUACAUAAAGUAAAACUCUGACAAAAUAUUUCCUAACCUUUUUAGAAGUGCAAGACUCAAAUUGUAAGUUACAGUGAAAAAGGAUUUAUUAUUAGGCUUGUGAUUGUAAGCAACCUUUUGCCACGGUAGUCCGAUCACGACUAACGCGCUCAAUGGUAGUGCAAUAUAUAUAUAACAAAAAGACUUAAAAGACUUCAUAUUGACGUCAAAAGCGACUCGAAAGACUCUAUUUCAACGUAAUAUUGCCGUUCACGACAGUGCACUUUGACGGUUUACGGUAAAGCGACUCAAGUAAACAUGGCGGACAUUACAAGGAAAAAGAGAGACUCUGAGUCUCUAGAAACUUGACCAGGUUAACUAAUUCACUCAAUAUAAUUAUAUAUAGAGAUUAAAACAACAUAAUACAAUCAUCAACAAAUAUAUAAAGGUAGGUCCAGUAUAAGGAAAUUCUGUAUUUACACUGUACAAAAAUAAAUAGAAAGGCGACUCAGUUUCAGGUGGGACUUGACGUUAUUUUUAUCUUUGCUCAAGUUACUGUUCAUAAUAAAUAUCUAAGAUAACUUAUUCUAAUAAAAAGAAACAUAUUUCAAAAAUUUAUAAGUAUCCAAUACGGUUUAAACAGAGAUUUAACUUGAUAAAAAGUGAAAAGGGGGAGGGGACACAAACUGUUGAACAACGAGGCCGAAAUCCGUUACA